GAUGAACGCUGGCGGCGUGCCUAAUACAUGCAAGUCGAGCGAACAGACGAGGAGCUUGCUCCUCUGACGUUAGCGGCGGACGGGUGAGUAACACGUGGAUAACCUACCUAUAAGACUGGGAUAACUUCGGGAAACCGGAGCUAAUACCGGAUAAUAUAUUGAACCGCAUGGUUCAAUAGUGAAAGACGGUUUUGCUGUCUCUUAUAGAUGGAUCCGCGCCGCAUUAGCUAGUUGGUAAGGUAACGGCUUACCAAGGCAACGAUGCGUAGCCGACCUGAGAGGGCGAUCGGCCACACUGGAACUGAGACACGGUCCAGACUCCUACGGGAGGCAGCAGUAGGGAAUCUUCCGCAAUGGGCGAAAGCCUGACGGAGCAACGCCGCGUGAGUGAUGAAGGUCUUCGGAUCGUAAAACUCUGUUAUUAGGGAAGAACAAAUGUGUAAGUAACUAUGCACGUCUUGACGGUACCUAAUCAGAAAGCCACGGCUAACUACGUG
rnacentral:rRNA from 1 species